CCUACGGGAGGCAGCAGUGAGGAAUAUUGGUCAAUGGACGAAAGUCUGAACCAGCCAAGUAGCGUGAAGGAUGACUGCCCUCUGGGUUGUAAACUUCUUUUAUAUGGGAAUAAAACGUUCCACGUGUGGGAUUUUGUAUGUACCAUAUGAAUAAGGAUCGGCUAACUCGGUGCCAGCAGCCGCGGUAAUACGGAGGGUCCGAGCGUUAUCCGGAUUUAUUGGGUUUAACGGGAGCGUAGGUGGAUUGUUAAGUCAGUUGUGAAAGUUUGCGGCUCAACCGUAAAAUUGCAGUUGAAACUGGCAGUCUUGAGUACAGUAGAGGUGGGCGGAAUUCGUGGUGUAGCGGUGAAAUGCUUAGAUAUGACGAAGAACUCCGAUGGCGAAGGCAGUUCACUGGACUGCAACUGACACUGAGGCUCGAAAGUGUGGGUAUCAAACAGGAUUAGAUACCCUUGUAGUC
rnacentral:rRNA from 1 species